rnacentral:rRNA from 1 species
GACGAACGCUGGCGGCGUGCUUAACACAUGCAAGUGGAGCGACGAACCAGGCUUCGGCCUGGGGCAGAGCCGCGAACGGGUGAGUAACACGUGGGUAACCUGCCCUGAUGAUCGGGACAACCCGGGGAACCGGCGUAAUACCGAAUGUGCCCGCGAGCCGCAAGGCUUGCGAGGAAAGGAAGCUUCGGCCUCCGCAUCGGGAUGGGCCCGCGGCCCAUUAGCUUGUUGGUGGGGUAACGGCCUACCAAGGCAGCAAUGGGUAGCUGGUCUGAGAGGACGAUCAGCCACACUGGGACUGAGAUACGGCCCAGACUCUACGGGAGGCAGCAGUGGGGAAUCUUGCGCAAUGGGCGAAAGCCUGACGCAGCGACGCCGCGUGAGGGAUGACGGCCUGGUGUAACGUC